rnacentral:lncRNA from 1 species
CAGAGGUGAAGAUACGCAGGACGUCCUCUAAAGCAACUUCCGUGGGUGCCAGGUUGUGGGCUGGGGGCGGUGCUGACCUUGAGAGAGCGGAGGAGGCGCAGGCGCAGCACAGUUUAAACUUGAUUUUGUGAGGGGACGAACAGCGUGACAAUUAAAAGAAGAUCUGGGAAUCGAAUACCCAUCUCGAGUUCUGGAUAUGUGCUCUGAGAAGGUGCCCAUGUCACCGACCACACUGGAGGCCAAUGCAGAUACUGGGGGAAGGUUCCAUGGUAGCUAAGUGUGGACAAGCUAAUCACUGAAGUUCCCUGAUGCAGAGUUGAUAAUCUCUCUAGAGUUGGAUGAAAGACUGUGCUGCCUUGAAGCUCUGAGAGAUGCCAUGCCAAUUCAAGGCAGGGUCUUUAUUGUUGAAACUCUUGCGUAAUGACAUCUUUAUUCAGGUGAAAAUACAGGAUGAAUUUCAACUAUAUGAUAUUGUUUAUGUUCCUCAGACAUGUUAUUUGUCUUUACAAAGAUUGGUUUCAAUAAACUGUGUGACUGAUAUUAAAUAAACAUGGAAUUUUACACAUUCAUAAUAUUUGGUUUCUU